rnacentral:misc_RNA from 1 species
UACAAGUAAAAAAAUCAGCAAUUUUUCCAAGAAAAAUGUUUGUUUUGUUAUGUUUUUGGAUGAGCAAACACUGUCCAAACUGUCUUUGGAUGGACAUAUACCUGAUGAUAGAGGAUAUGUUGGUCUAUGGAGAAUAGUUGUUGUCAAAAACCUGCCAUAUGAUGACAUGCGGAGAACUGGAAAGGUGCCAAAAUUUUUAUCACAUCGCCUCUUCCCUUCUUCUAGAUAUUCAAUUUGGCUCGAUAGUAAGAUGAGACUCAACACUGAUCCAAUGCUAAUACUUGAAUACUUUUUGUGGCGAAUGAGAUCAGAGUAUGCCAUUUCAAAACAUUAUGACCGUCACUGUGUCUGGGAGGAGGUACUCCAAAAUAAGCGUCUAAACAAGUACAAUCACACAGCCAUUGAUGAACAGUUUAACUUUUAUCAGUCUGAUGGUCUCACAAAGUAUGACCCUUCAGAUCCAAAUACUCCUCUUCCAAGUUAUGUGCCAGAAGGUUCAUUUAUUGUACGGGCCCAUACACCAACGUCAAAUUUAUUUUCAUGCCUCUGGUUCAAUGAAGUUGAUCGAUUUACCUCACGUGAUCAACUUAGUUUUGCAUACACUUACUUGAAACUGAGGAGAUUAAAUCCAGAUAAACCAUUCUACCUAUAUAUGUUCAAGGAUUGUGAACGCAGAGCACUAGCAAAGCUUUUCCAUCAUAGGGCAUUGCCAUCGCCUCCACC